rnacentral:rRNA from 1 species
GCGGUAAUACGGAGGGUGCAAGCGUUAAUCGGAAUUACUGGGCGUAAAGCGCACGCAGGCGGUCUGUCAAGUCGGAUGUGAAAUCCCCGGGCUCAACCUGGGAACUGCAUUCGAAACUGGCAGGCUAGAGUCUUGUAGAGGGGGGUAGAAUUCCAGGUGUAGCGGUGAAAUGCGUAGAGAUCUGGAGGAAUACCGGUGGCGAAGGCGGCCCCCUGGACAAAGACUGACGCUCAGGUGCGAAAGCGUGGGGAGCAAACAGGAUUAGAUACCCUGGUAGUCCACGCCGUAAACGAUGUCGACUUGGAGGUUGUGCCCAAGAGGCGUGGCUU